rnacentral:tRNA from 1 species
AUUUUAAUAGCUUAAUUAAGAGUUUUGUUCUGAAGAAACAAAGGUGAAAAUUUUUCUUAAAAUA